AGACCACUGUACUGGACCUCACUCAAGGUUGACCAUUCAUUUGGAUGGCCAGCAUGAAAAACUACAUUUCCGAUGGCAGGAUAAAAUGGCAGUCUCUUUCGUUCCCUUUCCCAAAAUUGUAUACAGCUGUCACCGUACCCACCUGGCUUUCGUAGAUUGUGUUAUUCACUCCCUACUGGAGGUUCAUGAUCCCGUCUUAGAGUUCAGUCGUCUCAUCUAUGUGUAGCCUCCAGGCCCAUCUCUUUGGCAGGUUCAGCAGAUUUAUGAGCGGUUGUAUCUGAUUUGUUUUUAAUGGCUGAACAUUUGGCUGUCAAAUGCUUUUGGUGCCAGUGUUGCCUAGAACAUGAUCUUGUCGGCCCAUCACGUCUCUUCACAUGGUAACACCACAGUAUCUUCCAACCAAUUGAUGUCACUGGGCACCUGCAGAGUGAAUACGAAGAGGAGACACCAGUGGACUGUGCGGGAGCUUGAGCGAGAGAAGGCUUCAUCUAUAAUUUGCAGUUCUCCCAGAGCAGACUAUUGGAGCUUCCUUCUUCCUUUUCUAUAGACCUAUAUUACUUGUCUUGCAGACACAGGACAAAGCUGAGAUGAAGAAGAUUUUAGCAUCAAGAGGAGAAAAAAGGGGAGAGUUAAUAACAGGAGAAAGAAGCAUUUUUGUCAAAUAAGAUAAAUUGCUUAUAUAAGUUUCCUAUAUUCACUUGUUCUAUUAAUCUAUGCAAAGUUUGUUUAAAUGACACACUGCCUAUUUAAGCCAUGUUAAAGUGAUGACAGUAAAGGGAGGUAAAUUA